UUCUAUCUCAAGCUGUUCUUUCUCCUUUCUUUCUCAUCUAGAAUUUUCUAACUUCCAAUCCAUUGGAGCAGUCUAGAACCUAAAACAGUUUGGAAAAUCAUAUCAGUUAAUCUGCUAUCUCUGCAGCUGUUGCUUUUAGAACUGUUUUUAUUUGUUCAUUGGUUGUGGGCGUCACUGACUUGACAAGCAUUCUUGCCAAUCUUAAUUAACUGUUGAGCGUCAUCCUCAUUUCCCUAGGUCUUUUUCUCACAUGUCUAAGGCUGGAUGCUGCAUAAGAACCCUAGCAAUUUAAGGGCAUGAUGUUCUGAGGCUGGGAAUGGUAGAGAGAAAGAGCUUUAUAUGUUGUCAGCACAUGAGGUUUUCAACAUGUUCUCUGAAGAGCUUCUACUUUAGGGAAAAUAGAAAAUUUUAAUUAAUAAAAUUAUGGAAACAGGCAGAUUUCAAGUGUAUAAUUUUGGAGGAGGAAAACUGGCAUUUUCUUCCUUGGUGAAAAGAAUUUCACUGUGCUGGGCUGAGGUUUUAGGAUAAGAAAUUUGCUUUCGUUAUGUUCAGUGCAAUCUGUGUGGAUUUCAGAUUUGAAGGCCCCAGUGACUGAUGAAUCUUAGGCAAUUGUGUGUGAAGAUUUCUUAAACAAGUACUCAAUAUAAUGCUGCAAGUUUAGCUUUUGUUUUGGGAGAGUACCCUUAGGAUGAGACUAAAUAGCCUAAAACAGUUGCUAGAAGUGACUUCAUAUUGCAACUGUUUCCAAUAAAGGUAACAAAUAAUUUUUUAAAAAGCUUUAUGAAAUAGUAAGUAAUAUGGUUUGAGCACUUACUUAUUUUACUUGUGUUUCAGCUGACAUAUGUACUACUGGACUUAGUACUACAGGAGUUAUUUCCUGAACUCAGUAAGGUGCAGAAAGAGGUGGCGUCUGUUUCCAUGUGGAAGUGAAGAAUACUGCUACCAAUUUUCCAUUUUGAGAUCCUCUUAUUUUUUAGGAGCUGGAGUGCAAUAGAACCAUGCUGUAUCUAUGUGGCAGAAUUAUGUGUAUGAAAUACUGAAUGGUUUUUAGUGAAACUUGUAUAAGUAAAUGUGAAUAUUAAUUUUAUGAAAUUCAUGUGAAUGUGAACAUUUAAUUUAAACCUACGUGUGUUACACUAUGCCAAUAAAGGAUAUUGUAUCAUUGUGUUGUGGAAA